rnacentral:lncRNA from 1 species
UGUUUUUUGUUUUUGGUUCUGUUUAGGAAUAAAUAAUCCAUCUAGAUUCUGUUUAGAUGUGGUUUUAUCUUUUAACUAGUGUUUGUGCCAAGUUAAACCUAUUAGAUCUUCUUGGAAGAUAGUUAUUUGAUCUUGCUGUAAUUUCCAGAAUCUUUGCGCUCAGUGCCCGAAUUGUCAAAAAUCACCAGAACGUGAUAAAAUAGUGAUUCCAAUUGCUGCUGAUCAAUAAACAAAUUUACCAGGUCGUCUAAUUUUGGUAGAAUUUUUUGGGUUCCAGAAGUUUGCGUUAGUAACAGAUUACUACAGACUGUUCUGUUUUUGACAGAUUCUGUUUUGCGUGUGUUGUUUGCUUAUUUUGAUGAAUCUAUGGCUAGUAAAAUAGUUUAUAAACCAUAGAGAAGUUGGAAUACAGUAGGUUUAACACCAAUACAAAUAAAGAACAAUUUCACUACAGUACCUUAAAGUAGUCUUUUGUUUUCUUUCUCUAACGGAGCUCACGAGAUUUCUAUUGAGUUUUGUGUUGUGAAGUUUUCAAGUUUUGGGUGAAUUCUUUUGAUGGACUAUGGAACAAGGAGUGGCAAGAGCCUAAGCUUGGGGAUGCCCAUGGCACCCCCAAGAUAAUCCAAGGACACCAGAAAGUCAAAGCUUGGGGAUGCCCCGGAAGGCAUCCCCUCUUUCGUCCACUUCCAUUGGUAAUUUACUUGGAGCUAUAUUUUUAUUCACCACAUGAUAUGUGUUUUGCUUGGAGCGUCUUGUAUUAUUUGUGUCUUUGCUUGUUAGUCUACCACAAUCAUCCUUGCUGUACACACCUUUUGAGAGAGCCAUGUAUGAAUUGAAAUUUGUUAGAAUACUCUAUGUGCUUCACUUAUAUCUUUUGAGCUUGAUAGUUUACUCUAUGUGCUUCACUUAUAUGUUUUUGAACGUGAUAAUUUUUGCUCUAGUGCUUCACUUAGAUCUUUUAGAGCAUGGUGGUGGUUUGUUUUAAAGAAACUUGAUCUCUCAUGCUUCACUUAGAUUAUUUUGAGAGUCGUUAAUAGCAUGGUAAUUUGCUUAAUGUUAAUAUACUUGGUAUUCAAGAUAUGUGAAACUUUCUUUUUAGUGGGUUGAAUACUAAUAUAAGUUUGAUGCUUGAUAAUUGUUUUGAGAUAUGGAGGUGAUAAUAUCAUAGUCGUGCUAGUUGAGUAGUUGUGAAUUUGAGAAAUACUUGUGUUGAAGUUAGCAAGUCCCGUAGCAUGCACGUAUGGUUAAAGUUGUGUAACAAAUUUGAAGCAUGAAGUGUACCUGGCUUGUGCAUCCUUAUGAGUGGCGGUCGGGGACGAGCGAUGGUCUUUUCCUACCAAUCUAUCCCCCUAGGAGCAUGUGCGUAGUACUUGAUUUUUGAUGACUUCUAAAUUUUUGCAAUAAGUAUAUGAGUUCUUUUGACUAAUGUUGAGUCCAUGGAUUAUACGCACUUUUACCUUUCCGCCAUUUGCUAGCCUCUUCGGUACCAUGCAUUGCCCUUUCUCACAUUGAGAGUUGGUGCGAACUUCGCCGGUGCAUCCAAACCCCGUGAUAUGAUAGGAUCUUUCACACAUAAAUCUCCCUAUAUCUUCCUCAAAACAGCCACCAUACCUACCUAUCAUGGCAUUUCCAUAGCCAUUCCGAGAUAUAUUGCCAUGCAACUUCCAUCAUCAUCAUCAUCAUGACAUGCUUUACUUUUGUCAUAUUGCCAUUGCAUGAUCUUGUAGUUGACAUCGUAUUUGUGGCAAAGCCACCAUGCAUUAUUUUUCAUACAUGUCACUCUUGAUUCAUUGCACCAUCCCGGUACACCGCCGGAGGCAUUCAUAUAGAGUCAUAUCUUGUUCUAGUAUCAAGUUGUAAUCAUUAUGUUGUAAUCAAUAGAAGUGUGAUGAUCAUCAUUGUUAGAGCAUUGCCCAAUCAAAAAAAGAGAAAGGCCAAAAAGAAAGGCCAAAAAAAGAGAAAAUAAAAAGGGCAAUGCUACUAUCUCUUUUUCCACACUUGUGCUUCAAAGUAGCACCUUGUUCUUCAUGUAGUGAGUCUCAUAUAUUGUGCUUCAAAGUAGCACCAUGAUUUUCAUGUAGUGAGUCUCAUAAUUUUUCUUGUUCAUACUAGUGGGAAUUUUUCAUUAUAGAACUUGGCUUGUAUAUUCCAACGAUGGGCUUCCUCAAAAUGCCCUAGGUCUUCAUGAGCAAGCAAGUUGGAUUCACACCCACUAGUUUUCUUUUGUUGAGCAUUCUUAGCUCUAGUGCAUCCGUUGCAUGGCAAUCCCUACUCCUUGCAUUAACAUAAAUUGAUGGGCAUCUCCAUAGCUCAUUGAUUAGCCUCGUUGAUGUGAGACUUUCUCCUUUUUUGUCUUCUCCACACAAUCCCCAUCAUCAUAUUCUAUACCACCCAUAGUGCUAUGUCCAUGGCUCGCGCUCAUGUAUUGCGUGAAGGUUGAAAAAGUUUGAGAUUAUUUGAGUAUGAAACAAUUGCUUGGCUUGUCAUCGGGGGUAUAGAAGUUGGGAACAUCUUUGUGUGACGAAAAUGAAGCUUAGCCUAACUAUAUGAUUUUGUAGGGAUGAACUUCCUUUGGCCAUGUUAUUUUGAGAUGACAUAAUUGUUUGAUUAGUAUGCUUGAAGUAUUAUCAUUUUUAUGUGAAUAUGAACUUUUGUCUUGAACCUUUCGGAUCUGAAUAUUCAUACCAUGAUUAAGAAGAUUUACAUUGAAAUUAUGCCAAAGUAUCACUCCGCAUCAAAAAUUCUCUUUUUAUCAUUUACCUACUCGAGGACGAGCAGGAAUUAAGCUUGGGGAUGCCUGAUACAUCUCCAACGUAUCUAUAAUUUUUGAUUGCUCCAUGCUACUGUAUCUACUAUUUUGGACUAUAUUGGGCUUUAUUUUCCACUUUUAUAUUAUUUUUGGGACUAACCUAUUAACCGGAGGCCCAGCCCAGAAUUGCUAUUUUUUGCCUAUUUCUGUAUUUCGAGGAAACAGAAUAUCAAACGGAGUCCAAACGGAAUGAAACCUUCGGGAACGUGAUCUUCUCACCGAACGUGAUCCAGGAGACUUGGACCCUACUCCAAGAAGUUUCUGGGGAGGUCACGAGGGUGGAGGGCGCCCCCCCUGGGCGCGCUCCCUGCCUCAUGGGCCCCUCGUAGCUCCACCGACGUGCUCCUUCCUCCUAUAUAUACCUACGUACCCCAUUAGACCAGAGACGGAGCCAAAAACCUAAUUCCACCACCGCAACUUCCUGUAUCCACGAGAUCCCAUCUUGGGGCCUGUUCCGGAGCUCCGCCAGAGAGGGCAUCCAUCACGGAGGGCUUCUACAUCAACACCAUAGCCCUUCCGAUGAAGUGUGAGUAGUUUACUUCAGACCUUCGGGUCCAUAGCUAGUAGCUAGAUGGCUUCUUCUCUCUUUUUAGAUCUCAAUACAAUGUUCUCCCCCUCUCUCAUGGAGAUCUAUUCGAUGUAAUCUUCUUUUUGCGGUGUGUUUGUUGAGACCGAUGAAUUGUGGGUUUAUGAUCCAACUUAUCUAUGAAUAAUAUUUGAAUCUUCUCUGAAUUCUUUUAUGUAUGAUUGAGUUAUCUUUGCAAGUCUCUUCGAAUUAUUCGUUUGGUUUGGCCAACUAGAUUGGUAGUUCUUGCAAUGGGAGAAGUGCUUAGCUUUGGGUUCAAUCUUGCAGUGUCCUUACUCAGUGACAGAAAGAGUUGCAAGGCACGUAUUGUAUUGUUGCCAUCGAGGAUAACAAGAUGGGGUAUUUAUCAUAUUGCAUGAAUUUAUUCCUCUACAUCAUGUCAUCUUGCUUAAGGCGCUACUCUGUUUUUAACUUAAUACUCUAGAUGCAUGCUGGAUAGCGGUCGAUGAGUGGAGUAAUAGUAGUAGAUGCAGGCAGGAGUCGGUCUACUUGUCACAGACGUGAUGCCUAUAUACAUGAUCAUACCUAGAUAACCUCAUAACUAUGCUAAAUUCUAUCAAUUGCUCAACAGUAAUUUGUUCACCCACUGUAGAAUAUCUAUGCUCUUGAGAGAAGCCACUAGUGAAACCUAUGGCCCCCGGGUCUAUUCUCAUCAUAUCAAUCUCCAUUACUUUAUUUUACUUGUUUUGCUUUUACUUUUUACUUUGCAUCUUUAUACAAAAAAUACCAAAAAUAUUAUCUCUAUCAGAUCUCACUCUCGUAAGUGACCGUGAAGGGAUUGAAAACCCCUAAGCGUUGGUUGCGAGUUGCUACCGUUUUGUGUAGGUACGAGGGACUUGCGCGUGACCUCCUACUGGAUUGAUACCUUGGUUCUCAAAAACUGAGGGAAAUACUUACGCUACUGUGCUGCAUCACCCCCUCCUCUUCGGGGAAAACCAACGCUAGCUCGAGACGUAGCAGAGAUCAUGUUAAAAUUUCAGCCCAAUCGGAGUUACGGAUCUCCGGGAAUUUAAGAAACGGUGAAAGGGCAGAAUCAGGGAACGCGGAAACAGAGAGAGACAGAGAGACAGAUCCAAUUUCGGAGGGGUUCUUGCCCCUCCGCCACCAUGAAGGCCAUGGACAAGAGGGGAAACCCUUCUCCCUUCUAGGGAGAAGGUCAAGGAAGAAGAAUAAGAAGGGGGCCCUCUGCCCCUCUCUUCCGGUGGCGCCGGAACACCGCCGGGGCCACCAUCGUGUGACGGCGAUCUACACCAACACCUCCGUCAUCUUCACCAACAUCUUCAUCACCUUUCCCCAUUUAUCUACAGCGUUCCACUCUCCUACAACCCGUUGUACCCUCUACUUGAACAUGGUGCUUUAUGCUUCAUAUUAUUAUCCAAUGAUGUGUUGCCAUCCUAUGAUGUCUGAGUAGAUUUUUGUUGUCCUAUCGGUAAUUGGUGAAUUGCUAUGAUUGAUUUAAUUUGCUUGUGGUUAUGUUGCUCUCCUUUGGUUCCCAUCAUAUGAGCGCACGCGUGGAUCACACCAUAGGAUUAGUUGUAUGUUGAUAGGACUAUGUAUUGGAGGGCAAGAGUGACAGAAGCUCCAACCUAGCAUAGGAAUUGAUGCAUACGGGAUUGAAGGGGGACCAAUAUAUCUUAAUGCUAUGGUUGGGUUUUACCUUAAUGAAUGUUAGUACUUGUGCAUGCUUGCUAAUAGUUCCAAUCAUAAGUGCAUAGAAUUCCAAGUCAAGGAUGACAGGCUAGCAGUGACCUCUCCCACAUAAAACUUGCUAUCGGUCUAGUAACGUAGUCAAUUGCUCAGGGACAAUUUCACAACGCGUACCACCACUUUUCCACACUUGCUAUACUAACUUUAUUGCUUCUUUACCUAAAUCAGCCCCUAGUUUUUAUUUACGUGCUCUUUAUAUUCUUGCAAACCUAUCCCGUUACACCUACAAAGUACUUCUAGUUUCAUACUUGUUCUAGGUAAAGAGAACGUUAAGCGUGCAUAGAGUUGUAUCGGUGGUCGAUAGAACUUGAGGGAAUAUUUGUUCUACCUUUAGCUCCUCGUUGGGUUCGACACUCUUACUUAUCGAAAGAGGCUACAACUGAUCCCCUAUACUUGUGGGUUAUCAGGCACGUAUUGUAUUGUUGCCAUCGAGGAUAAAAAGAUGGGGUUUCUAUCAUAUUGCUUGAGUUUAUCCCUCUACAUCAUGUCAUCUUGCCUAAUGCGUUACUCUAUUCUUAUGAACUUAAUACUCUAGAUGCAUGCUGGAUAGCGGUCGAUGUGUGGAGUAAUAGUAGUAGAUGCAAAAUCGUUUCGUUCUACUUGUCACGGAUAUGAUGCCUAUAUACAUGAUCGUGCCUAGAUAUUCUCAUAAUUAUUCAUUUUUCUAUCAAUUUCUCGACAGUAAUUUGUUCACCCAUCAUAAUACUUAUGCUAUCUUGAGAGAAGCCACUAGUGAAACCUAUGGCCCCCGGGUCUAUCUUUUAUAAUAUAAGUUUCCAAUAUAUUUUACUUUGCAAUAUUUACUUUCAAUCUAUAUCAUAAAAAUACCAAAAAUAUUUAUCUUAUUAUCUCUAUCAGAUCUCAUUCUCGUAAGUGGCCGUGAAGGGAUUGAUAACCCCUUUAUCGCGUUGGUUGCGAGGUUCUUAUUUGUUUGUGUAGGUACGAGGGACUUGUGUGUAGUCUCCUACUGAAUUGAUACCUUGGUUCUCAAAAACUGAGGGAAAUACUUACGCUACUUUGAUGCAUCACCCUUUCCUCUUCAAGGGAAAAUCAACGCAGUUCUCAAGAGGUAGCAAGAAGGAUUUCUAGCGCCAUUGCCGGGGAGAUCUGCCACAAGUCAAGACAUACCAAGUACCCAUAACAAACUCUUAUCCCUCGCAUUACAUUAUUUGCCAUUUUCCUCUCGUUUUCCUCUCCCCCACUUCACCCUUGCCGUUUUAUUCGCCCUCUUUUUCCAUUCGCCCCUUUUUCGUUUGCUUCACUGUGAUGGCUUUACCAAAAAUUGAUCCUCGCCUUAGAAGGUUGGAAGAAAUUGAAAACAACGUUAGAAGUUUUAUGUCCUUCCAGUUUGAGCAUAAUAAUUUCUUCAGGAAUGAGCUUAAAGAACAAAAAAAGUUUUAUGGGCUAUAUGAAUAAAGAGCUCGAUGACAUGUCUAAAGAAUUUUAUGGUCUAAACUCUCAAUUCGCUCAUCUUGAAAAUUUAAUAGCCCAAAUUUUGGAUAAGCAGGCCACCUUAGUUAAUAAGAUGGACGCCAAACUGGAAGAAUUUGAUGAUAAUAAGGAUGAAGAUCUAAAAGUGAUUGAUGUGUCUCCUAUUAAAUCUUUGUUUCGCAAUAUGAAUCUUGAUAAUGAUGGGACUGGAGAUGAGUCAACUUUAGUUAAAAGGCGUCUCAAUAAUUCAGAGUUUUUAGAUCUUGAUGCAAAAAUUGGUAAAAGUGGGAUUGAAGAGGUCAAAACUUUACAUAGCAAUGAACCCAGUAUUUAGGAUUUCAAGAAAUUUAAUUAUGAUAAUUGCUCUUUGAUAGAUUGUAUUUCCUUGUUGCAAUCCGUGCUAAAUUCUCCGCAUGCUUAUAGUCAAAAUAAAGCUUUUACCAAACAUAUCGUUGAUGCUUUGAUGCAAUCUCAUGAAGAAAACCUGGAACUAGAAGUUUCUAUCCCUAGAAAACUUCAUGAUGAGUGGGAACAUACUAUUAAAAUUAAAAUUAAAGAUCAUGAAUGCUAUGCUUUAUGUGAUUUGGGUACUAGCGUUUCCACGAUUCCAAAAAAUUUGUUUGAUGUGUUAGUUUCCGUGACUUUGAUGAUUGCUCUUUAAAUUUGCAUCUUGCGGAUUCCACUAUUAAGAAACAUAUGGGAAGGAUUAAUGAUGUUCUUAUUGUUUCAAAUAGGAAUUAUGUGCCCGUAGAUUUCAUUGUCCUUGACAUUGAUUGCAAUCCUACAUGUCCUAUUAUUCUUGGUAGACCUUUCCUUAGAAUGAUUGGUGCAAUUAUUGAUAUGAAAGAAGGGAAUAUUAGAUUCCAAUUUCCGUUAAGGAAAGGCAUGGAACACUUUCCUAUAAAGAAAAUUCAAUUACCUUAUGAAUCUAUUAUGAGAGCCACCUAUGAAUUGCAUACCAAAGAUGAUAAUACGUAGAUCUAUUCUUGCUUUUAUGCCUAGCUAGGGGCAUUAAACGAUAGCGCUUGUUGGGAGGCAACCCAAUUUUAUUGUUGUUUCUUGCUCUUUGAUUAUAUUUAGUAAUAAAUAAUUCAUCUAGCCUCUGUUUAGAUGUGGUUUUAUGCUUUUAAUUAGUGUUUGUGCCAACUGCCAAGUAGAACCUUUGGGAAGACUUGGGGGAAGUUUUAGUGAUCUUGCUGUAAAAAAUAGAAACUUUAGCGCUCACGAGAUUUGCUGCCAUUUUUUACUGGAGAGUGCGAUUAGGUUGAUUCUUUUUCAAGAUGAUUAAUAGCAAAUUCCUUACGUCCACAAAUUUAUUUCAGAAUUUUUGGGGUUACAGAAGUAUUCGAAACCUACAUAUUACUACAGACUGUUCUGUUUUUGACAGAUUCUGUUUUUCGUGUGUUGUUUGCUUAUUUUGAUGAAUCUAUGGCUAGUAUCGGAGGGUAUGAACCAUAGAGAAGUUGAAAUACAGUAGGUUUAACACCAAUAUAAAUAAAUAAUGAGUUCAUUGCAGUACCUUAAGUGCUGGGGUUUUUUCUUAUACUAACGGAGCUCAUGAGAUUUUCUGUUGAGUUUUGUGUUGUGAAGUUUUCAAGUUUCGGGUAAAGAUUUGAUGGAUUAUGGAAUAAGGAGUGGCAAGAGCCUAAGCUUGUGGAUGACAAAGGCACCCCAAGGUAAAAUUCAAGUACAACCAAAAUCCUAAGCUUGGGGAUGCCCCGGAAGGCAUCCCCUCUUUCGUCUUCUUCCAUCGGUAACUUUACUUGAGGCUAUAUUUUUAUUCACCACAUGAUAUGUGUUUUACUUGGAGCGUCUUGUAUGAUUGGAGUCUUUGCUUUUUAGUUUACCACAAUUAUCCUUGCUGUACACACCUUUUGGGAGAGACACACAUGAAUUAGAAUUUAUUAGAAUACUCUAUGUGCUUCACUUAUAUCUUUUAAGCUAGAUAAUUUUGCUCUAGUACUUCACUUAUAUCUUUUAGAGCUCGGUGGUGGUUUUAUUUUAUAGAAAUUAUUGAUCUCUCAUGCUUCAAUUAUAUUAUUUUGAGAGUCCUUUAGAACAGCAUGGUAAUUUUCUUUGGUUAUAAAAUUGGUCCUAAUAUGAUAGGCAUCCAAGAUGGGUAUAAUAAAAACUAUCAUAAAAAGUGCAUUGAAUAUGAUGAGAAGUUUGAUACUUGAUGAUUGUUUUGAGAUAUGAAGAUGGUGAUAUUAGAGUCAUGCUAGUUGAGUAGUUGUGAAUUUGAGAAAUACUUGUUCUAAAGUUUGUGAUUCCCAUAGCAUGCAUGUAUGGUGAACCGUUAUGUGAUGAAGUCGGAGCAUGAUUUAUUUAUUGAUUGUCUUCCUUAUGAGUGGCGGUCGGGGACGAGCGAUGGUAUUUUCCUACCAAUCUAUCCCCCUAGGAGCAUGCGCGUAGUACUUUGUUUUGAUAACUAAUAUAUUUUUGCAAUUAGUAUAUGAGUUGUUUAUGACUAAUGUUGAGUCCAUGGAUUAUAUGCACUCUCACCCUUUCGCCAUUGCUAGCCUCUCUAGUACCGCGCAACUUUCGCCGGUACCAUAAACCCACCAUAUACCUUCCUCAAAACAGCCACCAUACCUACCUAUUAUGGCAUUUCCAUAGCCAUUCCGAGAUAUAUUUCCAUCAACUUACGACCGUUCCGUUCGUUAUGACACGUUACAUCAUUGCCAUAUUGCUUUGCAUGAUCAUGUAGUUGACAUCGUAUUUGUGGCAAAGCCAUCGUUCAUAAUUCUUUCAUACAUGUCACUCAUGAGUUAUUGCACAUCCCGGUACACCGCCGGAGGCAUUCAUAUAGAGUCAUAUUUUGUUCUAGGUAUCGACUUGUAAUUCUUGAGUUGUAAGUAAAUAAAAGUGUGAUGAUCAUCAUUGUUAGAGCAUUGUCCCUAGUGAGGAAAGGGUGAUGGAGACUAUGAUUCCCCCACAAGUCGGGAUGAGACUCCGGACGAAAAAGAAAAAAAAGAAAAAAAAAGAGAAAGGCCAUAAAAAAGAGUAGGCCCAAAAAAUGAGAGGAAAAGAGAGAAGGGACAAUGCUACUAUCCUUUUACCACACUUGUGCUUCAAAGUAGCACCAUGAUCUUCAUGAUAGAGAGUCUCCUAUGUUGUCACUUCCAUAUACUAGUGGGAAUUUUACAUUAUAGAACUUGGCUUGUAUAUUCCAAUGAUGGGCUUCCUCAAAAUGCCCUAGGUCUUCGUGAGCAAGCAAGUUGGAUGCACACCCACUUAGUUUCUUUUGAGCUUUCAUACACUUAUAGCUCUAGUGCAUCCGUUGCAUGGCAAUCCCUACUCACUCACAUUGAUAUCUAUUGAUGGGCAUCUCCAUAGCCCGUUGAUACGCCUAGUUGAUGCGAGACUAUCUUCUCUUUUUGUCUUCUCCACAACCACCACUCUAUUCCACAUAUAGUGAUAUGUCCAUGGCUCACGCUCAUAUAUUGCGUGAAGAUUGAAAAAGUUUGAGAACGUCAAAAGUAUGAAACAAUUGCUUGGCUUGUCAUCGGGGUUGUGCAUGAUUUAAAUACUUUGUAUGAUGAAGAUAGAGCAUAGCCAGACUAUAUGAUUUUGUAGGGAUAACUUUCUUUGGCCAUGUUAUUUUGAGAAGACAUGAUUGCUUUGUUAGUAUGCUUGAAGUAUUAUUAUUUUUAUGUCAAUAUUAAACUUUUGUCUUGAAUCUUUUGGAUCUGAACAUUCAUGCCACAAUAAAGAAAAUUACAUUGAGAAUUAUGCUAGGUAGCAUUCCACAUCAAAAAUUCUAUUUUUAUCAUUUACCUACUUGAGGACGAGCAGGAAUUAAGCUUGGGGAUGCUUGAUACGUCUCCAACGUAUCUAUAAUUUUUUAUUGUUCCAUGCAAUUAUAUUAUCUGUUUUGGAUGUUAAUGGGCUUAUUUAUACACUUUUAUAUUAUUUUUGGGACUAACCUACUACCCCAAGGCCCGGUGCAAAUUGUUGUUUUUUGCCUAUUUCAGCGUUUCGCAGAAAAGGAAUAUCGAACGGAAUCUAAAUGGAAUGAAACCUUUGGGAGAGUUAUUUUUGGAACAAACGUGAUCCAGGGGAGUUGGAGUAGACGUCAAGAAAUCAACAAGGAGGCCACGACACAGGGAGGCAUGCCUGCUCCCCUGGGUGCGCCCCCACCCUCGUGGUCCCCUCGUAGCUCCACGGACCUACUUCUUCCUCCUAUAUAUGUCCAUAUACCUCGAAAACAUCCAGGAGCACCACGAAACCCUAUUUCCACCGCCACAACCUUCUGUACCCAAGAGAUCCCAUCUUGGGGCCUUUUCCGGAGCUCCGCUGGAGGGGGAAUCAAUCACGGAUGGCUUCUACAUCAACACCAUAGCCUCUCCGAUGAUGUGUGGGUAGUUUACCACAGACCUUCGGGUCCAUAGUUAUUAGCUAGAUGGAUUCUUCUCUCUCUUUGGAUCUCAAUACAAUGUUCUCCUCGAUCUUCUUGGAUAUCUAUUUGAUGUAACUCUUUUUGCGGUGUGUUUGUCAAGAUCCGAUGAAUUGUGGGUUUAUGAUCAAGUUUAUCUAUGAACAAUAUUUGAUUCUUCUGUGAAAUAUUUUAUGUAUGAUUGGUUAUCUUUGCAAGUCUCUUCGAGUUAUCAGUUUGGUUUGGCCUACUAGAUUGAUCUUUCUUGCAAUGGGAGAAGUGCUUAGCUUUGGGUUCAAUCUUGCGGUGUCCUUUCCCAGUGACAGCAGGGGAGGCAAGGCACAUAUUGUAUUGUUGCUAUCGAGGAUAAAAAGAUGGGGUUUAUAUCAUAUUGCUUGAGUUUAUCCCUCUACAUCAUGUCAUCUUGCCUAAUGCAUUACUCUAUUCUUCUGAACUUAAUACUCUAGAUGCAUGCUGGAUAGCGGUCGAUGUGUGGCAUAAUAGUAGUAGAUGCAGAAUCAUUUCGGUCUACUUGUCACGGACGUGAUGCCUAUAUACAUGAUCAUGCCUAGACAUUCUCAUAAUUAUUUUACUUUGCAAUCUUUACUUUCAAUCUAUAUCAUAAAAAUACCAAAAAUAUUUAUCUUAUUAUCUCUAUCAGAUCUCACUCUCGUAAGUGACCGUGAAGGGAUUGACAACCCCUUUAUCGCGUUGGUUGCGAGGUUAUUAUUUGUUUGUGUAGGUACGAGGUAAUUGCGUGUAGUCUCCUACUGGAUUGAUACCUUGGUUCUCAAAAACUGAGGGAAAUACUUAUGCUACUUUGCUGCAUCACCCUUUCCUCUUCAAGGGAAAACCAACGCAGUGCUCAAGAUGUAGCACGCCUCUCCUCUAGGAAGUAUGGAGGAGCUUGUGAAGCUUUUCCAGGGAGCUCGGCGGCGCUUCCGAUUAUGGAAGAUAUCGGUUUGCCGAGAAGGUGCGCGAGAGGCCUGGGCCAUGGUAAAAACACGGUACACCAAGCUUGAUCCGAAUCAUAUGGCUCGGGUCGGACCUCGGGGGUCAGAUGGAAAAGAAAUUCUAGUUAGUCUGGUGUAUGACUAGGUGAAGAUAGCCGCCAAGUAUUCCCAACAGGAUUGUAAGCUAGAUAACCUGUUAGAUGGCAUAGAGGAAGAAGUUUUUGAGUCCAAGUGACUAUGUACUUCAAUCGACAAAUUUGACCCUAGCCGAAUUAUAAAACGAUUGUCAUGGUAGACCUUUUCGCUUCGACCUCUGGACCCGAAGGCUCGGAGUGUUUCCGAAUACCCGCUCAGUAAUAUAGACCGAGGCAUGCGUGGAAACCAGGCGUAGGGAUCAUAGUUUCUUGAACAGACAAGUUGUAUCCGGCUAGCUAUGUUAUAUUACAUGUUGAUUGUAAGAAACAUCUUUCAGGGAGAAUAGUUCCGUUAGGGGUUCCUUUCCCUGGGCGGAUAUCGUUAGUAUGCAUGUUCGAACUGUGAUUGAAAAAUCACAGUAUACGUAACAUCCGGGGGUUCAUGGUGUGAUGAAGGUAAAACGACUUUAGUUCGUUGAUCAAAUAUUCCCUUAAGAACGCUAGCUUUUGGCUUCACCCUGUCUGAGGUACAAGUCCGGAUGACCCAGCUGUAACAAUCGCAGAGGUGCUCCAUUUAUGCCCUAGCUGAACAAACGGGGACGUAGGGCAUAAGCACAGGAGCCAGGCAACCCAGCCUGGCAAAAACUUAAGUCAUAACGAUGCAUAUAAUGGCGAAGAAAAGGUACAUAUGCGGAAGAGGACACAUAUGUGUUGAGCUUGAUGCUCGGAAAAUAAUAAUAAGCUUCUGUAAAAGAAGCCCCCAGGUAUUAUGAGUGUAUACGGUUAAGGAUGUGCACAUCAUAGGUGUGCGGUUCGGCCGCACAAGAGCUAAAGAGCGAGAGAGAAAUUAAGGAGGGUAAAAAUGAAAACAAAGGGAGAAGAAGACAAACAAAGAGUAUGGCUCUAGACAUAGAAUCUUCGGAGUCUUGCGGCAUUCCACGGGUUCGGCUCUAGGCGAUUGUCAAAUGCAUCACGCAGGCGGUACGCUCCUCUAGUGAGAACCUCAUCUAUGAUGAAGGGACCCUCCCACUUGGGCUUGAGUUUGUCCUUUUUCUUUUCUGGCAAGCGUAGAACGAGUUCACCAACAUUAUAAGUCUUGGCCCGCACUUCUCUGCUUUGGCAUCUGCGAGCCUGUUGUUGAUAGAAUGUCGAACGGGCUUUUGCAACAUCACGAUCCUCCUCCAGGGCAUCCAGACUGUCCUGCCGAUCGAUCUCGGCCUCUCUCUCUCUCUUCGUACAUGCGCACUCAAGGUGAGUCAUGAAUGAUGUCGCAGGGCAAAACUGCCUUUGCGCUGUACACCAUGAAGAAUGGUGUGUAUCCGGUAGUGUGAUUGGGCAUGGUCCGCAGCCCCCAGAGUACGGAGUCAAGCUCCUCAACCCAGUGCUUGUCUGAUUCUUUCAACGAUCGCACUAGUUUAGGCUUAAUGCCGCUCAUAAUAAGACCAUUAGCUCAUUCGACUUGACUGUUUGUUUGUGGAUGAUAGACCGGGGCGUAAUCGAGCUUAAUGCCCAAUUUAGCACACCAGGAUUUCACUUCAUCGGCUGUGAAAUUGGAGCCGUUAUCGGUGAUGAUGUUGUGUGGGACACCAUAACGGUGCAUGACACCAGAUAUAAAGUCUAUCAUCGGUCCAGCUUUGGCCGUUUUCACUGGUUUGGCCUCUAUCCAUCUGGUGAAUUUAUCUACCAUGACUAGCAUAUAUUUUUUCUUAUGGCUUCCUCCUUUAAGGGGUCCUACCAUAUCGAGCCCCCAGACCGCAAAAGGCCAAGUAAUGGGAAUUGUUUGUAAAGCAGUAGGAGGCAUAUGGCUUUGAUUGGCAAAGAGCUGGCAUCUGACACAAUGUUGGACGAGGUCCUGUGCAUCUGCUCGGGCCAUCGGCUAAAAGAAACCUGUACGGAAGGCCUUACUUACAAGGGCCCAAGCUGCGGCGUGGUGACCGCCAUGACCAGCAUGGAUUUCAGCCAGGAGUUGUCGUCCCUCUUCGUCAGAGAUACAUCGUUGAAGGACUCCGGUAGCACUUUUCUUGUAGAGCUCUCUGUCAUGCUUGUAGGCUUUUGAGAGCGGAACAAUGCAGCGAGCCUCAUUCUGGUCCUCAGGGAGCUCUCGCCUAUUAAGGUAGGCCAGGAAGGGUUCGGUCCAUGGGGCAAUUACUGCCAUAAUUAGAUGGGACGAUGGUGUUAUUUCAGUGGCUGAGCCCCUGAUGAUGUCGGUAUUGUGUUCGGAAUCUGGGGGUAUAGUCAGAUCCGGGCUAGUGUUGCCGCUCUCGUCCUGCCACACCACGGAUGGCUUGAAGAGCCUUUCCAAAAAGAUGUUAGGCGGGACAGGGUUGCGCUUGGCGCCCAUGCGAGCAAGGACAUCCAUCGCUUGAUUACUUUCUCGAGCCACAUGAUGAAACUCGAGUCCCUCGAACCGAGCUGAUAUUUUGAGUACGGCGUUAUGAUAGGCCGCCAUCUUCGGAUCCUUGGCGUCGAAGUCUCCAUUUAUUUGGGAUAUUGCGAGAUUUGAAUCCCCGCGCACCUCCAGGCAUUGUAUGCCCAUGGAGGUAGCCAUCCGAAGACCGUGCAAUAAGGCCUCGUAUUCGGCUGCAUUGUUGGAGUCUGUGUAUAAUAUUUGGAGUACGUAUUGGACUGUGUCGCCAGUGAGAGACGUUAAAACGAUGCCUGCUCCUAAACCGGCCAGCAUUUUAGAGCCAUCGAAGUACAUGACCCAGUUGGAAUAUGUGUCGUACUCUUUAGGGAGUUCGGCCUCUGUCCAUUCGGCGACGAAGUCGGCCAAUACUUGGGAUUUAAUGGCCCGGCGUGGUUUGUAUGUUAUGUCAAAUGGUAAGAGCUCAAUAGCCCACUUGGCAAUCCGACCCGUAGCGUCGCGGUUAUUUAUUAUAUCAUUGAGUGGUACUUCGGAAGCCACCAUGAUCGAACACUCUUGAAAAUAGUGUUGUAGCUUCCGGGAUGCCAUGAAGACCGCGUAUGCUAUAUUUUGGUAAUGAGGGUAUCGGGAUUUGCAUGGUGUGAGGAUAGUGGAUACGUAGUAUAUCAGUUUCUGAAGUGGGAACUUAUGUCCAUCCUCCUCUCGCUCAACGACGAGCACUGCGCUCACCACCUGGUGUGUUGCAGAGAUGUAUAAUAACAUUGGUUCGUCGAUGUUUGGCAUGGCCAGGAUUGGGUUGCCCAUUAAAAGAGCCUUUAUUUCCUCCAGUCCGGCGGUUGCCGCUUCCGUCCACUUAAAGUGGUCGGUACGUCGGAGAAGGCGAUAAAGUGGCAAUGCUUUUUCUCCUAGUCUGGAGAUAAAGCGGCUUAAAGCUGCCACGCAUCCGGUUAGUGUUUGGACCUGUUUAAGGUCCGUUGGUGUAGCCAAUUGUGACAGAGCUCAGAUUUUGGUUGGAUUUGCCUCAAUUCCUCUACUGGAAACGCUGAAGCUCAGCAGUUUUCCGGCGGGAACGCCAAAAACACAUUUUUCCGGAUUGAGCUUGAUGUCAUAUGUCCGGAGAUUGUCGAAUGUGAGACGUGGGUCGUCUAUUAACGACUCGACGUGCUUAUUCUUGAUGAUGACAUCAUCCACAUAUGCUUCAACUGUCUUGCCAAUUUGUUUCUACAGGCAUGUUUGAAUCAUGCGUUGGUAGGUGGCACCGGCGUUUUUAAGCCCAAAGGGCAUAGUGUUGAAGCAGAAAGGCCCAUAUGGGGUGAUGAAUGGCGUUAUGGCUUGAUUGGACUCCUUCAUUUUAAUUUGAUGGUAUCAGGAGUAUGCGUCGAGGAAACACAGUGAGUUGUGUCCUGCAGUUGCAUCAAUAAUCUGACCGAUGCGGGGGAGGGGGAAGGGAUCCUUAGGGCAAGCCUUAUUGAGGUCUUUGAAAUCGACGCACAGCCGCCAGGAUUUAUCCUUCUUUGGCACCAUCACCAGGUUUGCUAGCCAGUCCGGGUGUUUUAUUUCUCUGAUGAAUCCGGCCUCGAUUAACUUGGCUAGCUCCUCCCCCAUGGCUUGUCAUUUAGGUUCGGAAAAGCGCCGCAGUGUUUGCUUGACCGGCUUAUAUCCCUUCAAUAUAUUGAGGCUGUGUUCGGCCAGCCUGCGUGGGAUUCCUGGCAUAUCAGAAGGAUGUUAGGCGAAUAUGUCCCAGUUCUCGCACAGGAACGUUCGUAGUGCGUCGUCAACUGCUGGGUCCAGCUGUGCCCCAAUGGAAGUUGUCUGCUUGGGGUCCGUCGGGUGGACUUGAAAUUUGACUAUUUCAUUGGCUGGUUUGAAGGAGGUGGAUUUGGGACACUUAUCAAGGAUUACAUUGUCCCUAUCCACCGUAGAGUGUAGUGCGGUUAACUCUUCGGCCGCGAGGGCCUCAGACAGUGCCUCGAGGGCCGGGGGUGUUGUUUUGUUUUCGGUGUGGAGGGCUAUGUCCGGAUCACUAGCGAGAGUGAUAAUGCCGUUGGGCCCGGGCAUCUUGAGCUUCAUAUACCCGUAAUGAGGUAUAGCUUGAAAGCGUGUGAAUGCAUCUCGCCCCAAUAGGGCGUGAUAUCCAUUGUUGAAAGGAGCCACUUGGAAGUUUAUCUCUUCGGACCGAUAGUUCUCUAGCGUGCCAAAUACCAUGUCGAGUGUAAUUUUUCCUGCGCAUCGUGCCUCCCGGCUGGGAAUGAUCCCGCAAAAGGUCGUAUUACUAUGCUCGAUACGACUCCUAUCUAUUUCCAUUUUAUUCAGUGUGUCCUCGUAGAUGAGGUUUAGUCCAUUGCCGCCGUCCAUGAGCACUUUAGUUAGCCGAAAGCCAUCCACAAUUGGGUUGAGGACCAAGGCGGCUGGUGCCCAGACUGACCGGGUUUUGGGUUCGUCACUAGCGUUGAAAGUUAUGGCCGUGUCAUUCCAGGGAUUUAUUGUUGCGACUUGGCAGACUUCGGCGAGGUCGCGCAGUGCCCUCUUGUGCCGAUUGUUUGAAGCGAAAGUCUCGAAGACUGUCAAUACUCUGUGGUUGUCGUAUUCCAGGGGGAGUUGCUCCGUGGUAUGUUUGGUGAGGAUAUCCUCACCACUCUUGGCCACUUGCCGGAGUAUCCAACAUGCUCUAAGGUUGUGGGUUGGAACGGUAUCCGGUGUCAUGUGUAUUUUGCAUGGCCUAUCGAGCCAUCCCUCUAGAACGGUUCCGCGUUCUAUAAUGGGUUUAGUUUUCUUUACUAUGGGUUCGGGUGCCCCGCGAGGGUGCAUCCGUUUUGCUCGCCCGAGGGGUUCGGUGGAGUCCAGUGACUCCCAGCGAGUUGUUUGAGUUUUCCAGGCGCUUUCCAUUGCGCAGUACUUCUGUACUAUAGUUGCCAAGUCAGCGAAGCGUAAUACGCGACGGCAGUUGAUGGCGUUGAGGAUUCCUUCGUCCAUGCAAUUAUUGCAGAAUACUGAAAUCGCGUCCCCGUCGCGGCAAUCUUUAAUCUUGUUUUUGACAAGGAGGAACCUGGCCCAAAAGUGAUGGACUGUUUCCUGAGACUAAUGUCGCAUGCACGUGAGGUCGCAUAUAUCCGGAUGACCAAAAUUUCUUGAUGAAUAUUGCAUGUGGUGGGUGGGUGGCUUUAAAUCUGAACCCUAACCCAAUUUGGAGUCUGAAGUUUGAGAAGUUUCUGAGCUUAUUAGUUCGGGUUCCGGGAUAUCCAAUGAUUUUCCAGGCCCCACGCCCGAUUCCGGAUUCGGAGGGCUUGGAGUGUCUUUCCGCGGAUAGGUAUCCGGCUCUUCGAGCUCAGAAAUCUGAACAUAGUUCGUCUUCAGCAUAGGGGAAGAAUCAUUGUUUUGCUCUUCUACGCCCGCUAUCUAAUGGGUGAUCGGCGGAGAUUUGAUUUCUCUCUGAUCGGGUUUAAGCUCAAUCUGAUCAUAGUCAGUAGCGACCCCCAUGGCGGCGAUGCGAUCCAGGAGUUCGUUUAAAGACGACCGCUCCGCCGGAUCCAUCCGUCAGGAGUAUUCGGAGUCAACACGGAGGCGAUUUUCAAUGACCUACGAAGUCAUCGUCGGCUUAACGGCCGAACGGGCGGUCAUGGUAAAGCCGCCCAGCCGGAGGGUUUGGCCUAAGGCCAGAGCUCCUCCGGAGGUGAUACUGUCUUUGAUAACAAGGCGAGCCAUCAACCCUAACUUCGACGUCACAGUGGAACUCUCAAUGAAAGCACCAAUGUCGGUGUCAAAACCGGCGGAUCUUGGGUAGGGGGUCCCGAACUGUGCGUCUAAGGUCGAUGGUAACAGGAGGCAGGGGACACGAUGUUUUACCCAGGUUCGGGCCCUCUUGAUGGAGGUAAUACCCUACGUCCUGCUUCAUUAAUCUUGAUAAAUAUGAGGAUUACAAGAGUUGAUCUACCAUGAUAUCGUUGUAGCUAAACCCUAGAAGUCUAGCUUGUAUGAUUAUGAUUGUCCCUAUGGACUAAACCCUCCGGUUUAUAUAGACACCGGAGGGGCCUAGGGUUAUACAAAGUCGGUUACAGAGAAAGGAAAUAAUACAUCCGGACGCUUUAGCUUGCCUUCCACGCAAAGGAGAGUCCCGUUUGGACACGGGAGAAAGUCUUCUACCUUAUAUCCUCAUGGCCCAAUAGUCUGGCCCAUGUCACACAGGCCGAAUGCCCGAGGACCCCUUAAUCCAGGACUCCCUCACCCCUCUCCACAGUUUCGUCCCUCAGUCAUAUUUUCGGAGUGCUUAGGCAAAGCCCUGCGGAGAUAGCAUCACCACCACCGUCACCACGUCAUCGUGCUGCCGGAACUCAUCUACUACUUCAUCCGUCUUGCUGGAUCAAGAAGGCGAGGACGUCACCGAGCUGAAGGUGUGUUGAACGCGGAGGUGUCGUACAUUCGAUACUUGAUCGGUUGGAUCGCGAAGAAGUUUGACUACAUCAACCGCGUUACUAAACGCUUCCGCAUACGGUCUACGAGGGUACGUAGACACACUCUCCCCUCUAGUUGAUAUGCACCUCCAUGGAUAAAUCUUGCGUGUGCGUAGAAUUUUUUUUGUUUUCCAUGUAAUGUUUCCCAACACCAGUUACACCCACAACCCCUGCUGCUAUACCUAUUGGACCAAUUAUUAGAACUCGCGCACGCCAGUUCAAUUAUCACGUACUUUUGUUUCUUGGUAAUGUUUCUGAUGUUCAUGAGAAUAUGAUGCUGCCUAACUUAUAUACAUUUGUGUUGCUUACAAUUGAAGGGCCUAGCUAGCAUGGAUAAGAAGGAUGAACAUUUGAGCAUGAUCAAGUAUGGAGAUGAAGACGCGUGCGAAGAGAACAAGAACGAAGGUCCCAGUGGAGAUUUCUGCACUUUGAAGCCAACAUGAUGACAUACAAGAAGAUGGACAAAAUAUACAAAAUGACCUUUCAAAAAUUUCAUCCAUAGCUUAUUAUUGGUGCUGCGCUACCUUAUUUUUGGGCCAGGCCCAUGUAAUUUCGAAAUACUAUCUCGUAUGCUAUUUUUAGAGUCUAUAUUGUACAGAAACGACUCAUGAGGGGUUUUAGUCCCACCUUGCCAAGGGUGGACGAAAUCCUCUGUCUUUUCCCUAUAAAUACAAUUCUUAAGGCAUCGUUUAGACUUGGGUUUUAUUUAGUUAAAUGUUAGCAAUUGUUGGAGCUUAGUAUAUUUCGUUUAUGUCCAACCACCAGGCCAAGACCGCUUUUGAAACCCCGUUGUUAUCAAUACUUCAUCCAUAUUCGCAAUAUUCAGAUUGCUUUUAUCAUAUUCUUGCUCAUUCUUUGAUUGCUGGCAGGAAUAGACCUUGGUGGUCAGGCUAAUUAUGCUUUCGGCAUCGUUAGUAACCUCAUGAGCCAAGAUGGCAAUGGGGCCCCGAAACCCGCGUCCCCGCGGGUUUUUACCCUAUUAGGGGACGGGGAUGGGCGUCUUUUUAACCCCGCGGGGCUGUUGUUGGGUAAAGUAUAAAACCCGACACGUUUCACAGGUUCAAACCCGUUUCAACAAUACCCGAACCCGAAACCCGCCAUCCCCGUCAAAAUACUACAAUAAGCAUAUUCGAGGAGUAUAAUCUUGAGAGUGAUGAUGAUCAUGGACAUUCGUCUUGCUCAUUCUCUUCUUUGCAAGAGCCAAUUCGUAUGCCACUGUUCAAUGAACAUGUUGCUCGAAAAUGGCCAACAUCUUUUAGUAUAAAAUCUGAGCUAGACCGUUACCUGGAAGAUGAGCUAGUUCCAUUGUUCAAAGAUAAAUUCAGUGUGUUAGAUUGGUGGAAAGUUGGUGGAACACGCUAUCCAACUUUGAGGCUGCUAGCACGUGAUAUUUUUGCAACUCCGAUCAGCAUGGUUGCCUUGGAAUCAGCAUUUAACACAAGUGGUGGAAUUCUAGUUCUAAGUGGUAGAGCUCCAGUCCUUAUGUUUGCUUAAAUAUGCCGAUUUCCCCGUGGGUUCCCCGUGGGUUUUGAAACCCCGAUGGGUUUAGGGGAUGGGCAAAAAGCUAGCCCUGCGCACGGUGACGGGGACGGGGACGGGCUUGCGAUUUUUUCGUGGGGAUGGGUUUGGGAAGGCAAAACCCGGUGGGUUUCGUCCCCGUUGCCAUCUUGACUCAUGAGAUUGGUUUAGCUAUUGCUAAGAUGCAACGCCGUACACGUUUGUAGUCGGAUCGUCAAAGUCGGCUCUCCACCAAAACGAUAGAUAUCAUAUCAUCGAAAGAUCGGGACACCCUCGCAUCUAUCAAAAUUAUUCGCAUAAUGUAGGCUCCGCUACAACUGUAUUACUUGCCUUGUGAGAAAUAAUGAUAGUGUGUGAAGUAUCCGAUGGUGUAUAGUUUGUGCAUCUACUUCCCAUUUCAUAUUAGUGUCACUAAUUUGCAUUUCUAGGCUUAACAACCCAACGAAUUGAGGAGUUGCCGCAUGCAAUGAAGCAUGUGCGCGCUUGUGAGUAAUCUCGAUGUGCACAAGCUCACAAUUGGUUUAGAUUUGUGAAGUCACUAAAAAUAUAGAUUUGCUUGGGAUAAGUCCCAAAAGNNNNNNNNNNNNNNNNNNNNNNNNNNNNNNNNNNNNNNNNNNNNNNNNNNNNNNNNNNNNNNNNNNNNNNNNNNNNNNNNNNNNNNNNNNNNNNNNNNNNNNNNNNNNNNNNNNNNNNNNNNNNNNNNNNNNNNNNNNNNNNNNNNNNNNNNNNNNNNNNNNNNNNNNNNNNNNNNNNNNNNNNNNNNNNNNNNNNNNNNNNNNNNNNNNNNNNNNNNNNNNNNNNNNNNNNNNNNNNNNNNNNNNNNNNNNNNNNNNNNNNNNNNNNNNNNNNNNNNNNNNNNNNNNNNNNNNNNNNNNNNNNNNNNNNNNNNNNNNNNNNNNNNNNNNNNNNNNNNNNNNNNNNNNNNNNNNNNNNNNNNNGUGUUGGAAACGUGGGGACUCAUUUCAUAGCUUUCAGUGAUCCAAGGACAUAUUGGGUCCAUAUGUAUGUCGAUGCUAUCAAAAGGGGAUCAAGUUUGCUAUGAGAUAAGUUUCUCGCAAAGUGCUUAAAGAUCAAACUCCUAAUCCAGUCAAAUUGUACCUCUACCAUUCCCCUAUUAUUCCUCAUAUUUUACCUAGUUCGGAGACAUCAAUCCACAUUCAUUUGGAGCCUCUGACUUCACUUAGAGUGAUAGUCGUUGCAAACUCUAGUCCACUGAAAAAUCUACCGUCAUCGAAAAUCAGAUAUCAAAAGGCCUCCGCUGCAAGUUGUCUCCACAGCCGAGGAAAUGGAGUCAUGGCUGCUGGCCGCGGUGGGAGGGGGCAACCUAUGGAGGUCUCCAGGAAAAGUUGAUUGGGGCUUCGCCAACAUUGCCCUCACGUACAACAGGGGGGCUCUUCCUGCUAAGGAGAAUGAACGAGUACUCUCCUUUUUUGCGGGUGAGAAUGAACGAGUACUUGCUAUAAUUAGUUCAAUCAUGUCAGCGGUUGAUGCACCUGCUGGCUGAUAUGUGUAACUUUGGGCUCCUCAUGACAUUUGUAACAUCCUUGUAAACAUUGUUGUGCAAUAACGCUCAUACAUGGUUCUCCUAAUUCAUCUUCUUACAAAAUAAUGAAAGUUCUAGGUUUGUCUUAAGUCAAACUUCAUUCUGUUUGACCAUGCUUAUACAAAAACAUGGCAACAUCUAAAACACACUUUAUUUGCUUCAUUAGAUUCCAUAUAAAACAUAUUCUUAUAUGUUUAGCAACGUAUUGACAGCCCAAGAUACGUGAAUGCACCGAUGCCUACUACUCCACCUUAGAAGCCUUCGUUUCGUUCCAGAAGAAAUGGGGAGAGGAGCCUGUUGACGCCGACGGGGCACGAGAAAGCGAGGGGCGGCGAACCUGGGACCUUUUCUUUCGAAGGAAUGGGAGAGGUAUGGUAUACUUAAUACUCCUCCUCCCCCGUCGGUAACGGUACGUGCUUGGUCCGACGAUGCCUCGCGGCUGCCGUUUUCUUCCCUUUAAUUGAAAACCCUGUGAUGCGUGCGUCGACUCUUUCAUUGAAUCCCCUUAAAUCCGGCGGGUGAUACGUCGUCAUCGUCGCGGCGCUCCGACGAUCCCCGUGUCCGCGAAACCGCGUGUACGUGCAGCAGCGCGAGAGGCCGGACUCCCGUACGCUCCGGCCCGGCGGCGACCACGGUGGUUGCGCUCGACGUACGGGGCGGUUCUUACAGUUAGAAUUUGACGUGGAAUCCAGCCACACGAUGCGUGAUUCUUUUACGUGCGCCGCAUGAGAUUCUGAAUGUGCCUUGAACUCAUGCGUGCAUACUUUGCCACAGAAUAUUGUCCUCUUACUUGCAAGAAAAGAAAAUGAGAAAGAAGGGUGACGGCCACUGAGCAGAAAAGAAGGCUCGCCGUCUGCAGCUGAAGUGGACGGAAAAGGACGCGUCUUGAAAAGAAAUCCUGGGCUUCUAGAUCGACCGACCGGGCGCGCUCGUCUUGACCUGGACUGAGGUGCAGAUAAAGAGGAGAAGCUUCAGAAAGGACGACCCAAGGAAGAAAACUAAGCCAAAAGCGGCACCGAGCAACAAACCGAUCGAGCACACCACAUCACAUCAUCUCGCGUUCUCUAGCUAGCUACACCUACAUAAGCAGCGCGGCGGCACACCCUUGCCCUGGAGGAGAGAGGAGAGCGCCGAUCGUCGGACCACGGGCAGCCACACGAGACUAGCACGAUGGAGGCGCUCGCUCCUGCCGGGGGCAAGCCGCUGUCGGGGCCGCGGGCGCGGCGGAUCGCCCGGAGCCGGGAGGAGAUGCUGGGCCUCCUCGCCGACUUCGACGGCGGCGAUGGCGGCUCCGACCGCGAGCUCUCCUUCUCCGACCUCGUCGACGCCGUCAGGCCGCCGCCCAACGCCGGCCACGCCUCUGCGUCGCCGCCGCCGGCACCAGUAGGGGUCGAAGCGGCGGCGGCCGAGCAGAGGCCGGAGGAGGCCGUGGCACCGAAGCAGAAGCAGGCGGCGGCGGUGGCGGGAAAGGAGAGGAGGAGGCUGCGGAGGCGGCAGAGCGACAACAGGGGCAGCUGCGGGGGAGGCGCGGACGGCAACGGCGUGCUGCUCAACUUCUACGUGCCGGGGCUGCUCACCCGGAGCAUGACGGCGCCGCGCCCCGGCCGGGGCGUGAUGCCGGCCGCGGGGGCACGGCAGACCGCGCCGCCGACGGUUGCCGCCGGCAAAACCAGGUGAGCUUUUCUGUUCGCAACCGCCAGAGCUUCUCGAAAUUCGCGCCAUGGAUGGAUGCAAACCGCAAUGAUUAACCUCUCCGUUCAAACAGUAAUUAGCCAUGCAGUCAAAUAGUCAAUGAAUCUUCCAAUACUAGUACUAUCAUGUAGUAGCACUGAUUGCUAAUAAUCAUGUCGAAAUCUUUUCUACUCCCUCCAUUCUUAAAUAUAAGUCUUUUGAGACAUUUUAAAUGAACUACAACAUACGAAUAUAUAUAGAUAUAUUUUAGAGGGUAGAUUCACUCAUUUUAUUGUGUAUGUAGUUAUUUGUUGGAAUCUCAAAGAAACUUAUAUUUGAGAACAAAGAGAGUAGUAACGAGAGUUAUAGUACAGUGCUCCCUCCAUGUCAAAAUAAAUGUCUCAACGUUUUAUUAAUUUUCAUUUAAAAUUAUAUUAAAGUUGAGACACUUAUUUUGAUACAGCGAGAGUAGUAGGUAGCAGGUGAAGUGCUCGUUCAGUCGCUGUAGACAUGGCCGAGCACCAGUGAAGUCUCUGACUAGUACUACUAUGGUUGCACUGAAUAUGUCCAACUGCAUUGCUAGAUUUUUCUUCUGUUUAUAAUACGGAGUACAUGAUAGUAACACAUCUCGCAACCAUUAUAAAUGCUCAUUUAGUCACGUCAUUGUUUCCAACCCCGCAACAAAACGAGUGCGUGGCCGCGAAAACCCUUUCUCCAACAAACGGGUUUUAAAAAGGACCAAUCACCAAUCAAUCUGCGUUCUCUCAGGAUCUCACUUCCUUUGACAAUUCUCCUUUAGACCACAUGAUUAAACCUUUUGACUUUGGUAGCACUCGACUCAGAGAAAAAUUGGAACAACUCAUGUUCAGCGAUAUGAAAAUGGAACGGCGACGACGACAAUCCGCCCGAAGUUUGUUAAAAACAAGGGGGGGGGGAACACUGACCAAAGUGCAGAAAUACGCAAAUACUGUUCAAUACGUUCUUUGUUUCUUUCUUUCUUUCCGAGGCUACUACAUGUUCAAUAGUAUCGACCACCGCUAAUCUGUUUCGGACGUUCAAAUGUUUCAGGAUGCAGGCGUCGCUGGACAUCGGCUGCUGGCCGGCGCUGUGGGGCAGAGGCCGCGACCACCACCGGAACAAGCCGGUCUGAGAGUCUUCUAUUCUUCCAUGCACAUACAGCCUACUCGUAGUCUGAACCUUUUUGUGCAGCUAAUGCGAGCCUUUUUCCUCUGCUCACGCAUGUAAAUUAUUAUCUCCUGUUUUUGUAAACGUGGUUUGUGUUGGGGCCUUGUUUAAACUGCGUUUGGUGCUGCUGUAGCGCUGUGUGAUCUUUCUCGAAAGGCAGGCAGCCACGGAUGGACAUGUCAACUGUAGGCUUACUUUGUCACUUUGUGACUUUGCGAGAUCCGGCGGUGCUGUUGAGUGAGAGCACGCGAUGCUCCUUUUCGACAGGCCGCCUCACGUUCCCCGUGGCGUGCCGCUGAAGCGAUGCAUGUGCAAAGCUCGCACAAAAAGCAGAACCAACCGAAAUCUCGGCGGUGCGUACGUGACCUCGCUUUCAGUUUCAGUAGGCGAUAGAUAAACGGAGGCUGGGUGGUGAUGCUGGUGGUGAGUACACAAGACAUGAAAACGAUUGCUGUGAUUCAGCUGACUGAAUCUACCACUACCAGCUAGCAGCCUAGUACGGUAGUAGUAUAAGGUUCGGGGACGAGCCGUCCUUGUAGCUUGGCGCCCGGCGGAGGCACGUCUGCGUCCAAACCAGAUACGAUAUCACUGCCGGUACCGGCCCGCUGAAGUCAAGGCCAGAGACAACGAGAUAGACAGGCAGUGUCAAACGAUGCCGACUGCACAUCAUGGCACGUAACACAUCGAGGCGGCGACGUGGCAGGAAAAAGAAGAAACUGCGACCGAUGCAUCCAGUCCACUGCCCUCGAGGUGGUGGAGUACUUGACAAUGACAAUCAUCACAAACUAUGUGAAGAAACAGCAAACAUUGCAUUAGGAUUCAGAGCCAGACAUAUUACAAACCUGCUACUAAGAUCUCAAGUUCACCAACAAACUGACUACCGGAUUAACCCGACACAGACAAACUACACAAGCAACAAGUCCACGACACCCCGAAGACGACGGGGGCCAGCAAGCGCGAAACACACACACUACUAGUAGCAACACGGAGCCAUCAGAAAUAGCCCCGGGCAACGAUCAAGGAAGAUCCACGGAACAGACCUCGCUGGCCCCUACUCCUGGAGGUCGGCGUCGUCCUCGUCCUCGUACAGCUCCUCCUCCUCGUCGGCGGUGGCGUCCUGGUACUGCUGGUACUCGGCGACCAGGUCGUUCAUGUUGCUCUCGGCCUCGGUGAACUCCAUCUCGUCCAUGCCCUCGCCCGUGUACCAGUGCAGGAAGGCCUUGCGCCGGAACAUGGCCGUGAACUGCUCGCUCACGCGCCGGAACAUCUCCUGGAUGGACGUCGAGUUGCCGAUGAAGGUGGACGCCAUGGACAGGCCCCUGGGCGCGAUGUCGCACACGCUCGACUUGACGUUGUUGGGG